GCGCCGCCGCGCCGCAGAAGGUGAAGGAGCAGCGGGAGGCGCGCAGCCGCUGCACCGUGGCGCGCACGAGCGCGGCCGGCCGGCGCCCCCAGCGCGCCCACAGGAGAGCUGGGAGGCAGAUUGAAGAAGGGGCUGUGGAUACAUGUACAUUAACCAGUACCAUACUGGGAUUCAGCUACCAUACAGCCUCUACCCAGUCCAGUUGGGAAAAUAAGGUCCGUCUCUCUUCUCUCCAGAAGCAUAUCUAUAAAUAAAUAGAUGUAAUUGUGUGUGUGUGGCCCAUCUGCAGAACAGGAAGAAGAAAUCAGUUUCUCUCAAUAAGCCAGAACUACAUGUCAGCAGUUGGAGAAAGGAAAAUGCUCCACAAAAUGAUGGGUCCUGAAUGUUUUUCCGGGCAGACAUGAUAACCCCUUUCAGGUAGGCUCUUGAACCUCAUGACCACAAGGUCAUUAGCCGUUUCUGUUUCUAUGUUACAGGCUGAACUGUGUCCCCCCACCCAAAUUCUAAUGUUGAAAUUCUAAUCCCCAGUAUGAUUGUAUUUGGAGAUGGGUCUUUCAAAUGGUGAUUAAGGUAAAAAUGAGUCCUAUGGGUGGGCCCUGAUCCAGGAGAACUGGUGUCCUUCUAAGAGAUCAGGACACAGAUCCACAUAAAGGGAAGACCACGUGAAGACAAAAGGAGGAAAUCUUCAGAAGAAACCAACUUGCCAGUAUUCCGAUCUGGGACUUCUAGCCUCCAGACUGUGGGGACAGAUUGGGGCUGUUGAAACUGCCCAGUCUGUGGUACCAUGUUACGGCAGCGAGGACACAUGAUCUUAGCCAAAAGGCCGAGAAGCGAUACGGCAGCGAGGACAAACUGAUAUAUCCUAGUUCUCAGUAGGCCCUCCUCUUGUCUCUGACCAUUUCUGGGAAACAAUGGUCUAGAGGGAGUCUUUGCCCCCAGCUUCUGGCCUCACCAACAUUUUCUUCUGGGGUGGUCCUGUUUGCUCUCUGGGUUUCGGUGACCACCCCUUUGGGCAUGAUGUGUAACUAGCCAGGGCCACAGCUAUUGCUUCUACAUAGCUACUUGAACAUUCUGUUGGUGUCUCAAGUGCAACACGAAUAAAACCCACUGUAUUUUUUUCUCCACAAA